UGUUUCGGCUAGGGGGCCAUCCCGGCUUACCAACCCGAUGCAAACUGCGAAUACCGGAGAAUGUUAUCACGGGAGACACACGGCGGGUGCUAACGUCCGUCGUGAAGAGGGAAACAACCCAGACCGCCAGCUAAGGUCCCAAAGUCAUGGUUAAGUGGGAAACGAUGUGGGAAGGCCCAGACAGCCAGGAUGUUGGCUUAGAAGCAGCCAUCAUUUAAAGAAAGCGUAAUAGCUCACUGGUCGAGUCGGCCUGCGCGGAAGAUGUAACGGGGCUAAACCAUGCACCGAAGCUGCGGCAGCGACGCUGAUGCGUUGUUGGGUAGGGGAGCGUUCUGUAAGCCUGCGAAGGUGGCCUGUGAGGGUUGCUGGAGGUAUCAGAAGUGCGAAUGCUGACAUAAGUAACGAUAAAGCGGGUGAAAAGCCCGCUCGCCGGAAGACCAAGGGUUCCUGUCCAACGUU
rnacentral:rRNA from 3 species